UGGAGUCUGCUGGCUGUGCUGUGAGGAGGAGGGGACAGGAGGUUGUGUGAGGGGCAGAAAGGGUAAGAUGCUGUACAAAGGAUAGACAGGGUUAGGUGGCUGUGUGAGGGACAGGAAACAGCAAGCUGAAACUGCAGAAGAACACCUGUGUGGGGUUGUUCAUAGGACUGCAACUUAGCAAAGAGGAUUUAAGUGGCACUCGACAAGAAAAAGUAUUGGAAACGGGAUAGCUAAAAACCGGAGAGAGCACCAAGAUGGAGAUUGUUUGAGGAUAAAAUGUGUUGAAGAGGAUCAGAGAGUUGUAAGGACAAUAAGGUUACCUGAAGCGACUACUAACAAGUGCAACAGUAAUUUUUUAAAACUUUCUUGGGAAGCCAAUACUUGUCUUUUCUUUAUAACAAGAAGGCAUUGGUAGGAAGAGAACUCCGAGUGAACUCAGGGAGGCAUGGGGAAUGGGUACAGUCUGCAAGUAUAACCAUGUCAGUGUUGGUGGAAGCAAGCUGCUGAGGCCAUCUGAAGCUCCAGAUUUUCAUGUGUAACUGGAGUGCAGUGAACCUUCCGUAGAUGCCCAAGGGCUCUGCGCCUCUCUCGAAAAUUAUCUAUAAUUUUAUUGAAGCAGCUCCCCACAUUUUGAAGUGCAUGGCCAGAGGCCUAACUGUGACACCUGUACGACUGCACUGUCCAAGGUAUUCCUCAUAGUCAGUGGAGAUGAGUAUACUUUUGGGAUACAUUUGAAGAGAGGAAAGACAUUCUUCGAUCGAAGCACAGAACUGGGAAAUCUGAUUUAUCAUCUGUUCUGUCCUGGCAUUCCUGCAUGAUCUUGAGCAAGUAACAUCAGAGAAGAAGCAAAACCAGGGAUCAGAAAAAACCUACCUGCAACAGAUGCCCAGAGCCUGGAGAGGUCAACAAGAGAGUGCCUUAAGUGUGGCAUAAAGGGAUUUCAGCCACUCCAGAUGAUUUUUGGAGUUAAUGAAAUUGAAUUCAGAUCCAAGAAGUGACACAUAAGAAAAAGAAUGCAGCACAAGAUGUACUUUUCCUAGUCUCAAAACAUACUUAAUGCUUCUGCUUCUAAUCCGGGUGGACACUGCACAUCUUAUUCUUUUCGAUAUAAUAUGAAAAACAGAAUUAGAACAUCAAAAACAGAACAACAACUAAAUAAAUUAGAAAAUAUCAGAAUCUUCUGCUUGAAUUCACUUACACAAACUUCUGAUCCUUGUGGUAAAAUGAGGAACAUACUGCAAAUGUUGAAUUGGUGAUUAUUCAUGGACUUGUUCUUGAGUAACUGUUUCAUAGGUUCAACUAAGAGCUCUUAUAUGAACAAAAUUGUCUAGUGGAAAAGGAAGGAGAAUGUCAAAUGGAAGUCUGGAUAGUUUUCUGAUUUGUACCAAAGCACAGUUGCAGGAGCCUCCGUUGCAAGUACCCCUUCAGCAGUGUGUUCACCUGGAUCAGAUUAAGACUACUUGUGAUGUUAUUUCACUUAUUUCCUGUAAUUCAGUUGGCCUUCAGUCCCCCAUGACUGCUCCAGCAUCACAUAGAUAUGUUUAUAUUGAGUGUUUUAAAUGAUACACAUAAUGUCUCCUUCAUUAAUUAUGUACAAAAGACUAUCAUAUAUGAACAUCUCUGUCAAACACACAAAAAACUCCUUCUGCUGGCUGUUUGCAGCUAUCUGUGUAUUUUGGUGAUUCUUGCAUCAGGAACUGCCUGAAGCAGUCAAUGAGCCUGCCUGAUUAUUUAUCCAAGGUAGCUGCAUUUUUAAUAAAUGCAUAUUGAUAAAUUAUGCUUGAAUAGCAUAUGUAUAGAAGUAUACAGAUGGUGGCUAUCACAGAGCCUAGACACAGCAAGACCUGCUUAGGAAAGUCACAGGGCUGUCUAUAAUUCACACCUGGAGAGCUCCUGUCACAGAAUUUUUGUUGUGAAGCUGGUUGAAGGUUUAGUCAUUGAUUUUGUCUCACGUGCUGUUUCCUCAAAGCUGAGUACUUCGGAAGCUCUUGCAUCUCCCAGGAAUUCAUUGAAAGAUGGUGUUGGGUGUGCAUGCAGCCAAAGCACUGGUAUCCAGCUAGGCCACAGUUGGAAUUAUUGGAUGCACUUGGAUUUUAUGCUUAUAUUCCAAUUGUAACUUUGAUUUUACAGCUUUUACCAGAAAAUAAAUUGAGUCCUGUUGAAA